rnacentral:misc_RNA from 1 species
GAAAUGCGAUAAGUAAUGUGAAUUGCAGAAUUCAGUGAAUCAUCGAAUCUUUGAACGCACAUUGCGUCCGCCAGUAUUCUGGCGGGCAUGCCUGUUCGAGCGUCAUUUCAACCAUCAAGCCCCGGGCUUGUGUUGGGGACCUGCGGCUGCCGCAGGCCCUGAAAAGCAGUGGCGGGCUCGCUGUCACACCGAGCGUAGUAGCAUACAUCUCGCUCUGGGCGUGCUGCGGGUUCCGGCCGUUAAACCACCUUCGUAACCCAAGGUUGACCUCGGAUCAGGUAGGAAGACCCGCUGAACUUAAGC